rnacentral:rRNA from 1 species
AUUGAACGCUGGCGGCAGGCCUAACACAUGCAAGUCGAACGAGUGGCGGACGGGUGAGUAAUGUCUGGGAAACUGCCCGAUGGAGGGGGAUAACCACUGGAAACGGUAGCUAAAAACGCAUACCAUUGGAUGUGCCCAGAUGGGAUUAGCUUGUUGGGGGGGUAACGGCUCACCUGGGCGACGAUCCCUAGCUGGGCUGGGAGGAUGACCAGCCACACUGGAACUGAGACACGGUCCAGACUCCUACGGGAGGCAGCAGUGGGGAAUAUUGCACAAUGGGCGCAAGCCUGAUGCAGCCAUGCCGCGUGUAUGAAGAAGGCCUUCGGGUUGUAAAGUACUUUCAGCGGGGAGGCGUUACUCGCAGAAGAAGCACCGGCUAACUCCGUGCCAGCAGCCGCGGUAAUAC